GCUGGCUUCGGCAGUACAUACUCAAAUUAGAGUGAUACAGAGAAAAUUAGCAUGGCCUCUCAGCAAGAAUGACAUGCAAAUUCAGGAAGCAUUCCGUAUUUCA
ensembl:snRNA U6 U6 spliceosomal RNA